rnacentral:rRNA from 1 species
CCUCAAAUCAGGUAGGACUACCCGCUGAACUUAAGCAUAUCAAUAAGCGGAGGAAAAGAAACUAACAAGGAUUCCCCUAGUAACUGCGAGUGAAGCGGGAAAAGCUCAAAUUUAAAAUCUGGUAGUCUUCGACUAUCCGAGUUGUAAUCUAGAGAAGCGUCAUCCGUGCUGGACCGUGUACAAGUCUCCUGGAAUGGAGCGUCAUAGAGGGUGAGAAUCCCGUCUUUGACACGGACUACCAGUGCUUUGUGAUGCGCUCUCAAAGAGUCGAGUUGUUUGGGAAUGCGGCUCAAAAUGGGUGGUGAAUUCCAUCUAAAGCUAAAUAUUGGCGAGAGACCGAUAGCGAACAAGUACCGUGAGGGAAAGAUGAAAAGCACUUUGGAAAGAGAGUUAAACAGUACGUGAAGUUGCUGAAAGGGAAACGCUUGAAGUCAGUCGCGUUGUCCGGAACUCAGCCUUGCUUUUGCUUGGUGCACUUUCCGGAUGACGGGUCAGCAUCGAUUUUGACCGUCGGAAAAGGGCUGGAGUAAUGUGGCACCUCCGGGUGUGUUAUAGACUCUGGUCGCAUACGGCGGUUGGGAUCGAGGAACGCAGCGCGCCGCAAGGCAGGGGUUCGCCCACUUUCGCGCUUAGGAUGCUGGCAUAAU